rnacentral:rRNA from 1 species
UACGAAGGGGGCUAGCGUUGCUCGGAAUCACUGGGCGUAAAGCGCACGUAGGCGGAUUGUUAAGUCAGGGGUGAAAUCCUGGAGCUCAACUCCAGAACUGCCUUUGAUACUGGCGAUCUUGAGUCCGGGAGAGGUGAGUGGAACUGCGAGUGUAGAGGUGAAAUUCGUAGAUAUUCGCAAGAACACCAGUGGCGAAGGCGGCUCACUGGCCCGGUACUGACGCUGAUGCGCGAAAGCGUGGGGAGCAAACGGG